rnacentral:rRNA from 1 species
AGAGUUUGAUCCUGGCUCAGGACGAACGCUGGCGGCGUGCUUAACACAUGCAAGUCGAACGGAAAGGCCCUUCGGGGUACUCGAGUGGCGAACGGGUGAGUAACACGUGGGUGAUCUGCCCUGCACUCUGGGAUAAGCCUGGGAAACUGGGUCUAAUACCGGAUAGGACCGCAUGCUUCAUGGUGUGUGGUGCAAAGCUUUUGCGGUGUGGGAUGAGCCCGCGGCCUAUCAGCUUGUUGGUGGGGUAAUGGCCUACCAAGGCGACGACGGGUAGCCGGCCUGAGAGGGUGACCGGCCACACUGGGACUGAGAUACGGCCCAGACUCCUACGGGAGGCAGCAGUGGGGAAUAUUGCACAAUGGGCGCAAGCCUGAUGCAGCGACGCCGCGUGAGGGAUGACAGCCUUCGGGUUGUAAACCUCUUUCAGUAGGGACGAAGCGAAAGUGACGGUACCUACAGAAGAAGGACCGGCCAACUACGUGCCAGCAGCCGCGGUAAUACGUAGGGUCCGAGCGUUGUCCGGAAUUACUGGGCGUAAAGAGCUCGUAGGUGGUUUGUCGCGUUGUUCGUGAAAACUCACAGCUUAACUGUGGGCGUGCGGGCGAUACGGGCAGACUAGAGUACUGCAGGGGAGACUGGAAUUCCUGGUGUAGCGGUGGAAUGCGCAGAUAUCAGGAGGAACACCGGUGGCGAAGGCGGGUCUCUGGGCAGUAACUGACGCUGAGGAGCGAAAGCGUGGGUAGCGAACAGGAUUAGAUACCCUGGUAGUCCAA